UUGUUAUACAAUUAAGAAAGAAAAUUUCAAAGUAGCUAGCAGGAAACUUCACCAGCUGUGCUUUUAUCUGUACCCAAUUUGUUUCAUUUGCCAGUCAAGUCUAAAUUUCCAGUAAACCCUGUCCUUUUCUUCCAACAAACACAAUUCAAUUUGGCAAGAAAAGUUUCAUGGGGAGGACUGGAUCGUUUGAUCUUGAAAGGCACUUUGCAUUUUAUGAGCAUAUCACAGCAACCCAGUUAACAUUUUGAUACACACUUUCUUUGUGUGGCCAUUGUUCUUCACUGCUGCCGUUCUUCUCCAUUUCACACCUUCACUCUACAAUUUCCCAUCUGGGAUUAGUGAACAUGGUCUUGAAUUGAAUUUUGGGUUUGUUUUUACUUUGAUGUAUGCUGUUUUUUAUGUUUGCUUGGAUAAGAAAGCAGGGCCCCUGGCAGCUUUGCUCUGCUUUCUCUGUUGGGUUGGAGCCAGUUUUCUUGCUGGUGGACUUGGGUUUUCCAGGUCAUGGAAGCUUGUUCUGGCUGCUCAGUUGUUCUGCUGGACUGGACAGUUCAUAGGCCAUGGGAUAUUUGAGAAAAGAGCACCGGCUCUUUCAGACAACUUUGUUCAAGCACUUCUAAUGGGGCCUUACUUUGUGCUGCUUGAGCUUCUUCAAUCAGCCUUUGGCUAUGAACCUUAUCCAGGUUUCCAUGCAAGUGUGCAAAAACAGAUUGAAGCUGAUAUCAAAGAGUGGAAGGCCAAGAACCAAAAGAAACUAAGAUGAAUGAACUACUUUAAUUUGAAUUGAUAUUUAUGAAUGUACUGGAAUGCAACUUGCAUUUUGUCUUGUCA